UACGGGGGGGGCAAGCGUUAUUCGGAAUUAUUGGGCGUAAAGGGCGCGUAGGCGGCCAUGCGUGUCUUCCGUGAAAUCCCUCGGCUUAACUGAGGACGUGCGGAAGAAACUGCAAGGCUUGAGUCCGGGAGAGGGGGGUGGAAUUCCCAGUGUAGCGGUGAAAUGCGUAGAUAUUGGGAGGAACACCGGUGGCGAAGGCGGCCCCCUGGACCGGUACUGACGCUGAGGCGCGAAAGCGUGGGUAGCAAACGGG
rnacentral:rRNA from 1 species